AUUGGUGUUGAUCACUAAAAUAUUCUUCUUUCUUAUAUUUGAUUGAAAUGGAAAAUUCUUUAGUGAUCAACACCAAUUAUAAUUAAUAAUCAUAUAAGAAAAUGGGGAUAAAAUACUAUGCCCCGAAAGGUGCACAAGACAGCAAGAACUGAAAUUAUGUAGCGCAGCAGGAAAAACUAUUCUGCUUUGAUGAAUUUUCUCCAUUCUUGACCAGACUGACUCGGUUUGCAGUCAACUCAGCCUUGUAUAAAUCGGAAUUCAGAAUUUUCUUGCUCACAUCGUUGUAUAUCUCACGGAUCACCACCUCAAAGGCUGCCUGAACAUUAGUAGAAUCAAGGGCUGAUGUCUCCAUGAAGAAUAAACUUUCUUCUUCUGCAAGGCUUUUGCCCUCCUCUACACUCACUUCUCUAAUGUUCUCCAGAUCACGCUUGUUCCCUACAAGCAUUCUUGCUACUGUAGUAUCACAAUGAGUGCUGAGUUCAUCCAGCCACCUUUUGACGCUAUCAAAACUUGUCCUCCUAGUGAUAUCAUAGACAAUUAGUACACCAACAGCACCUCUAUAAUAAGCAGAGGUAACAGCUCUAAACCUCUCUUGGCCAGCAGUGUCCCAGAUCUGUGCCUUGAUUUGUUUGCCAUCAAUAUCCACCACCUGGGUCUGAAACUCUACCCCAAUAGUAGCCUUAGAAUUGUUAUCAAACUCAUUUCUUGCAAACCUGGAUAGUAAAUUAGAUUUUCCCACAGCAGAGUCACCUAUUAGCACAAUCUUGAACAAGUACUCUUCAGCUCCUCCUCCUUCUUGUUCUUGACCCAUUGCAGAGUUCUUGAUGUAACUUCGAUUCCUGUGCGGCCUAAAUCACAUAUUGAUAAUGGGAUUUGCGCGUGAAUGUUCUGUAGGGUUUUAGCUUUGGAGAGGAGGAAAGAAGGC
rnacentral:misc_RNA from 1 species